ensembl:snoRNA
CAGCAUCCUUAAUAAACCCCCUGGUUGCCGUUUGUGGUCUCUGGGACAAGAAAGGGUGCAAGAUCAACCUUAGAAUCAUCCAAAGCUGAGAGUUUAGUGUCAGUAGCUCUCGGUUAUUUCACCUCUAAGACAGAA